CAUGGCUCAGGAUGAACGCUAGCGGGAGGCCUAACACAUGCAAGCCGAGCGGUAGAGAUUCUUCGGAAUCUUGAGAGCGGCGUACGGGUGCGGAACACGUGUGCAACCUGCCUUUAUCAAGGGGAUAGCCUUUCGAAAGGAAGAUUAAUACCCUAUAAUAUAUUGACUGGCAUCAGUUAAUAUUGAAAACUACGGUGGAUAAAGAUGGGCACGCGCAAGAUUAGCUAGUUGGUGAGGUAACGGCUCACCAAGGCGACGAUCUUUAGGGGGCCUGAGAGGGUGAUCCCCCACACUGGUACUGAGACACGGACCAGACUCCUACGG
rnacentral:rRNA from 1 species